GGUGGGGACACAGCCAAACCGUAUCACUCCCUGAGUCUUAGCUUGACUGUGAAGUCAGAACCCAGAGGGCCUCCCUUAGGUACCUGUGUGUGCAACAAUAGCAUCAGUACCAAGAUUUCCCAUGCUUACCCUCACAAUUCUAGGUUUUAAUGUGGGAUCUGGGAAAAAAAGCAAAAGGAACUGUUUUCACACAUUAUGCCCAGCAUAGUGUUAAAAUUGCUAGCAACAGACUAACAACAGGUAAUAUUGAUGUGGUGCUUUAGGGUUUUUUAAGGGACUUUCUUCUACAUUGCCUUCUUGGGACUUCACAGCCAUUCUGCAAGCAUGUGUUAUUCCUCUCUUUUACAGAGGUGGGUAUGGAAACUCAGAGAGUGAAAUGAUUUGCUUAGGAUCACAUAGCCAGGAAGGGGAGAUUUUUGAAUUUCACCUUAGAUUGGUCUGAUUUCAAAAUCACUUAACACGUUUUCCCCUUAUAGGCCUUUUUUUUCUGCAGGAAAAUUGUUUAUGGGAGUUCCUAUUUCUCUUCUUUUCCCUUUCUUACCUCACCUGGCAUAGUAGUUUUGUCAGUGGUUGGGCCAGUGCAAAAUGACACUGCCAACAUGUGGGCAAAUUACUCCUUAGGGGCAUUACCCGAGAGCUGCUGGGGAAGGAAGUAAUUGGUGUGGAUUGGAAAUGGUGUCCAAGUGAAGCAAUAGAGUCUGGGCUCAAACUCAAAGGACUAACUGGGGAUUUAUGGGCCAGUCCCCAGAUACUGCGAUGCUCAGCAAGGCAGAUUGCCCACCAGGAUGACUGUCUUGCACUGAACAUUCUCCCCUUGUGUGAGUGGGGAGGGGAGAUGUCUAGAUCUGCCCUGUCCAGUAAGUUAAGCCACCAGUCACAUGUAGACAUUUAAAUUUAAAUUUCGAUUACUUCCAAUUAAAUAAAAUUGAAAAUUCAGUUUCUCAGUUGCACUAGGCACAAGUGUUCAAUAGCCAUAUGAUCACCAUAUUGAUUAGUGCAGAUCUAGAAGAUUUCCAUCAUUGCAGAAAGUUCUGUUGGACAGCACUGAUCUAGAAUAGAACAGUGAGAGUGUCCAUCUUAUGUGUUGGUAAUUCUCACUCAGCAGACUUAGGAGAGGUGUACUCCCUUUUCUACACGUGGAACAUAAACUUUUCAAGCCCUAGGUGAUGGGUUCACUCUGUGUUGUAUCCACCUCCCCUAAUGUAGGGUACCCAGAAGUUGAGAGUUUGCAAAGACCCACACAUCAUGAGGUUUGUCCAGCCUCCGUGCGUAUUCACCCCGUACCUCCUCCCCACACCACCUUAUGUAUACUACUUUGCAACUAGGUAGUCAGUGCCUUAGGGAAGAAUUGUUUCUUCUUCUCUUCUCAGCUUUGGCUAUUUUCCUUGAAAGUGGAGACAGAUCAUCUCUUUCAGAGGAAGCAGCAAUCUGUCCCUUUGUUGCCAAAAUAGAAGAAAGUCCAUCUUUAGGGGUCUUGAAACUGGAGUAGAAAUAUAAGAAUUUCCACUUGAAUUAUAUUUCUCUUUAGCCUACCUUUCCUCACUUUAAUUAAACAAGAUAAUUUCUUAGUAAAUUAUAUACUUAACCAAUAUGAGACUAACCCCCCAACCUUCAAAUCAGUUCUCAUUGUAUUUGCAGCUUUUGGGGAGAAGGUUGUAAGGAUCUUUAGAAUUGGUGGUCCCGGAGAUCUUUCAAGUUUAGGAGGAGAAGGUCAUAAGCACCUUUUGAAUUACCUAAGAUUUUAGGAUGUAUCUUGUGUUUGUUUGCAAUGCCAAUAAGUACCUUUUUAUGUAGAAUAGCGUACUAAUACUAAGAAUUAAAGCCUCUUAUUAACGGCAGGACAUAUUAAAACAAUCACUAGUCAUUGUUAAAAUAAAGAACAGCUCAUUAUUUUUCAUAUCUUAAAGAUUGAACCCUUCACCAUGAUUAAUAAAGGAUAGUUGUUAUCUGCUUUGGUAACGAAAAUUCAUGUACAAAAGAAACACUUUGCCAAAUUAAAAGUAAAAUGGUAGCAAGAACACUUGUAUCUGCACUGCUAAUUAAAAGACUUAACUUAUUAGACCUUAAGCGGGGAGGAAAAAAGAAACAAACAAGUAUAAUUUGCCAGAUUAAUUUUAUGGUCUGUUCUAUUUAAUCAAACUAUACCUUUUAGUGAAAAUGACAAAUCUGAGUUGUCAGAAGGUGGUAGAUAAGGAAGAUAAAGGUCAUAUAUUUUAAUGUCACAGAAGGUCUUAUUAAAGGAACCUUAAUUACAUUAGGUACCCAUGAAACAUUAAUUAAAUACUGUCUGAAAUAAUUAGAUCCACGUUACUGAUGGUUUAAUUAAACUCAGUUUCUUUUUUUGUAAGAAAACUAAAGGUCCAGUAUCUCUGUCGGCAGCAUAAUUGAUAAUAUGUCAAAAAGGCAAAAUAGUAACCUUGACCAACCACAGACAGAGGGUAAUAUGGCUCUCAGGGCCUUCUGUGCAUUAACUUCAUUGUCUAUGGUGGCCGGUGUCUCCAAGAAGACCUCAUGAUGUGUGUGCCUUUGCAAACUGUCAGCUUCUGGGGGUCCUAGCAUAGGAGAGGUGAAUACAAAACAGUGAAUCCAUCCUGUGGGGCUUAAAAAGUAUAUGCUCCACAUGAAGAAAGGUGGUAUGCUUAAUACAUGCACCUUUUCAUUCUAGAAAUGCAUCCUGCCUUUUGUCAUCUCUGCUUAUUGUAUCUCAGAAAUGCCAGCACCCUUUCUGACCACUCAGUCUGCCCAGAGAGUAUCAUGGCAUUGAACUCCUUUCCCGUAUUUGUUUAUUAUCUCUGUGCUCCAACAUUUAUUUUCUUUUUUACUUGUAUAUCUUUGAAGUUAAAAGCAUGGGCUUUGGAAUCAGAUUGCAGGGUUUGAAUCUCAACUCUGCCACAGCUGUGUAACCUUGGGUGAAAAGUACAUGGUAAGCCCUACAAGAAUGACACAGAACAUUCCGUG
rnacentral:lncRNA from 1 species